UCUAACCAUCUAUGGUAUAUGCCCAAAUUCCAUUUUAACUAAGACCAGAAGAGUGAAGACCCAUCACGUGAAAUCCUAUUUAAUAUAUCACAAGACUCUCUUUUUAUGCUAAUCUUUCUCUCAUCUCUUACACAGUCUCCCAAAAUUUCUACCCAUCAAGAGAGAGACUCACGUCGCCACCUGCUCUUUGUCUGUUCACUCUUUGUUUCAACGGAUUCCAUUGUGAGAGAAAAUGUUGGGAAACUGUGAGAAGAUGGUUGUCAUCUCUCCACCUACUAACGAAUGGCCACAGAAUCAGAUAGAUGAGAAAAGCUUGAUCCCAUCUACAAGUAAACUAAUGGAGAAAAGGGGCCAAGAACUAUCACAACCACAACACCACCACCAGCAGCAGCCACAGCAAGCUCUCAAGUGUCCCCGCUGUGACUCCUCUAACACCAAGUUCUGUUACUACAAUA
rnacentral:misc_RNA from 1 species